AGUGAACGCUGGCGGUAGGCCUAACACAUGCAAGUCGAACGGCAGCACAGUAAGAGCUUGCUCUUACGGGUGGCGAGUGGCGGACGGGUGAGGAAUACAUCGGAAUCUACUUUUUCGUGGGGGAUAACGUAGGGAAACUUACGCUAAUACCGCAUCCGACCUACGGGUGAAAGCAGGGGAUCUUCGGACCUUGCGCGAUUGAAUGAGCCGAUGUCGGAUUAGCUAGUUGGCGGGGUAAAGGCCCACCAAGGCGACGAUCCGUAGCUGGUCUGAGAGGAUAAUCAGCCACACUGGAACUGAGACACGGUCCAGACUCCUACGGGAGGCAGCAGUGGGGAAUAUUGGACAAUGGGCGCAAGCCUGAUCCAGCCAUACCGCGUGGGUGAAGAAGGCCUUCGGGUUGUAAAGCCCUUUUGUUGGGAAAGAAAAGCAGCAGGUUAAUACCCCGCUGUUCUGACGGUACCCAAAGAAUAAGCACCGGCUAACUUCGUG
rnacentral:rRNA from 1 species